rnacentral:rRNA from 1 species
UACGUAGGGUGCGAGCGUUGUCCGGAAUUACUGGGCGUAAAGAGCUCGUAGGUGGUUUGUCGCGUUGUUCGUGAAAACUCACAGCUUAACUGUGGGCGUGCGGGCGAUACGGGCAGACUGGAGUACUGCAGGGGAGACUGGAAUUCCUGGUGUAGCGGUGGAAUGCGCAGAUAUCAGGAAGAACACCCGUGGCGAAGGCGGUUCUCUGGGACGGUACUGACGCUGAGACGCGAAAGCGUGGGGAGCGAACAGG